AUUGAAUCACAGAAUUUAAUUCCAAAACCAAAAGGGUUCAACUAAUAUACUUUGUCCUCAAAACCCAGGAGGCCAAAAGAGCUUAUCGGCCAUAGAUUUUAAUUUUGAAAAAAAAAUAAUAAUAAUAAAUAAUUCAAACUAAACACACUAACUUAAACUCCUAAAAAACCACAUGACUUCCAAAAUUCCCAACUUGAAAUUUUAACUAAGUACAGUGCUACAAUUUGUGUUCCAAAAUAAGUAAAAAAGGUACAAAAACUUUAGAACAUGAACAACAUAACAAUUUCCAUAGAAGAUCUAAGCAAAAAUUAUGGAAGAAAUUCAAAUUUAUAUAUAUAUAUAUAUAAAGAUUGAAGACUUUGGAGAAAAGAUGUCAGGAAUUCUUUGAAAAAAGGAAAGAUUCCCCGACAAAGGAAAUUUUUUUUUUCAAAAGUAGGAAAGAUUUUUUAGACUUUUAGAAAAAGUUGUUGUAGACUUUUUGAAAUUUUUUGUAAUGGGGGGGUAUGCUGUUUUAAUAUGGCUGUUGUAAUAUGGCUAUUGUAUAUGGAUGUUUU
rnacentral:lncRNA from 1 species